rnacentral:lncRNA from 1 species
GACCCCAAUUGCAGCCACUACCGUCGUUCACAACCACCACCACCGCUCGCAACAACCACCACCAUGGAUGUUUGGCUACCAGAUAGUGGUUGUUGAUGGCUGCAGACAUGGUGGCGAUACGCGGUUUGCUGGAGCUCCAACAUGAAACGAGCUUAAUCUUUUACAGGAUAUUCGUGGAAAUGAGGUGCCUUUGAGCUUUUACAAGAGGAAGGCUGUGUUAAUUGGUAAUGUUGCGUCACUCCAAAUGAACGACAUCACAUAGAAACCUGAGGAGUUCAUACAGGGUUUUGGCAAAGUUCUGGCUAGCUCCGGUGACCUGUUCUCAUCUUGCUUGUGACAUCUUUGUGUAGAUCGGCCACCCUAAGACCUCUA